AAGAUUAAAAUAAUCUCGUGGCGAGCACCUGGUGGCGCCGGAUGCCAAGAGUGCCUCCAGCGGGCCGGUGAGCUAAGCAGGGCCGCUCGCAUCACCAGUUGGUCUCUGCCAGUCUCCGAGAAGAGUCGCAACCAUGAGGAAUAAGGCGUUGUUGUCUUUACUGAUGGCCAUGAUGGUGCUGUUCGCACGCACCUCGGCCUGGGACAUCUUUGAUGAUGAUGAUGACGAUGAUGAUGAUGAUGAGGACGACGACAUUGAUGAU